rnacentral:tRNA from 1 species
GAGUUGGUAGUUCAGUGGUAGAGUUCUCACUUUUCAUAUGGGAGACCUGGGUUCCAUUCCCAGCCAGUGCA